rnacentral:lncRNA from 1 species
UAGUGUGUUAUUCGUUGAUGAACUAGUCGUUACCCCCUUUGUCUCUUCUGCGCGAAGAAAUAGUGUGUGGUAGAGUGGUAACGAGUUCAGCCUUGAACGCACGAAGGAAGACCUCAUCGUAGCUUGCGUCUUUGAGAAGUCCACAAGCGCACAUCAUCUAUACAUGACUGACUGGGCAGCAUCCAUCAACAAUCAAUGUGAUUCAGUAGUAUUAGAGUUGUUAUCACGGACACUAAUCCUGAGCAGUUGACCAUUUUUCCAUCACGCAUGCUCCCAUCUGACGCGCUCUCACAGCGCUAAUCCUCCAACAUGAUCUCAUUUACCACAAGUUACUACUUUUUCACCAAAUAUAUCCGCUGGGUUGGGUGAAGGACGGCUGGGUACUAUUGGGAGUGAGCAUGCGUGUGGAAAAACCU